GUCAACCAGCGUGUUUUCCAUACUCCUGCUUCUAUUCUCUUUUUGCUACUCCUCCCGGUUUUGACCCAUGCCUGUUUUCUGGAUUGACCAUUCUGCCUGCCCUGACCUCGAGCCUGCCUGCCACUCUGUACCUCCUGGACUCCGAAAUAGUUUUGACCUUUUGCCUGCCUACAACCAUUCUCUUGCCUACCCCUUUUGGAUUGAUUGAUGAAUAAAUAUUAAAGACUCAAACCAUCUGCCUCCCGUGUCUGCAUCUGGAUUUCACCUUGUGCCCUUAAAGAGACACCAGACCAGCUUGGCGGCAGAGAGACAAGCUAGCUGCAAUCAGGUCAGUGUGGGACAUGUGGGUGGGCCGCCAUCCCCUGUUUUAUAACCCCGUGCCCAAUGUUAGUGUUGAUAAGAAGCUUAUGUCAUUUAGGGGCCACUGCCCCUUCAGGAAGUACAUACCAUCUAAACCCGCAGAAUAUGGAAUCAAGAUCUGGGCUGCCUGUGAUGCUGCUUCCUCAUAUGCAUGGAACUUGCAAGUGUAUACGGGGAAGCCAGAGGGAGGAGCCCCUGAGAAUAACCAAGGGAUGCCGGUUGUCCUGGACGUGACACAGGGACUCCGUGGCCACAAGCUGGGACAGGAGCUCCUCAAGGGGAAGCUGACGAUGGUAUGAAUAGUACAAAAAAACAAGCCAGAACUCCCACCUCAGCUGUUGAAUACACGGAACAGGCCUAUCAAUUUCUCUAACUUUGUGUUCACGGCUGACACGUUCUUAGUGUCCUACACGCCAAAGAAAGGCAAAAAUGUAGUAGUUAUGAGUACUCCGCAUAGGGAUGGGAGAAUCUGUGGCAAGGAACAUCAAAAAACAUAAUUCAUAAUGGAUUACAAUGCCACAAAUGGAGGGGUGGACAAUUUAGACAAGCUGGUGACUGCCUACAAAAGAAGAACUCUACGCCGGCCACUUGUGAUUAGAGGUCGACCCGAUUAUGAUUUUUCAAUGCCGUUACCGAUACCGAUUAUUGGAAGACCAGAAAAAGCUGAUACCGAUUAAUCUGCCGAUUUUUUACAAUUUUAUUAUUUGUAAUAAUGACAAUUACAACAAUACUGAAUUAACACUUAUUUUAACUUAAUAUAAAACAUCAAAAUCAAUUUAGCCUCAAAUAAAUAAUGAAACAUGUUCAAUUUGGUUUAAAUAAUGUAAAAGCAAAGUGUUGGAGAAGAAAGUAAUAUGUGCCAUGUAAAAAUGUGUGCCAUGUAAAAUAUGUGCCAUGUAAAAAAGCUAACGUUUAUGUUCCUUGCUCAGAACAUGAGAACAUAUAAAAGUUGGUGGUUCCUUUUAACAUGGGACUUCAAUAUUCCAAGGUAAGAGGUUUUAGGUUGUAGUUAAUAUUUUAUUUAUAGGACUAUUUCUCUCUAUACCAUUUGUAUUUCAUAUACCUUUCACUAUUGGAUGUUCUUAUAGGCACUAUAGUAUUGCCAGUGUAACAGUAUAGCUUACAUCCCCUCCUCGCCUCUACCUGGGCUCGAACCAGGAACACAUCGACAACAGCCACACUCAAAGCAUCGUUACCCAUCGCUCCACAAAAGCCGCGUCCCUUGCAGUGCAAGGGGAAUAACUACUCCAAAUCUAAAAGCGAGUGACGUUUGAAACAGUAUUAGCGCACACCCAGCUAACUAGCUAGCCAUUUCACAUUGGUUACACCAGCCAUUAGGCUGAUGGGCUUGAAGUCAUAAACAGCGCUGUGCUUGUGAAGAGCUGCUGGUAAAACGCACGAAAGUGCUGUUUGAUUACGGGCCUGCUGCUGCUCAGUCAGACUGCUCUAUCAAAUCAGACUUAAUUAUAACAUAAUAACACACAGAAAUACGAGCCUUUGGUCAUUAAUAUGAUCGAAUCCGGAAACUAUCAUUUCGAAAACAAGACGUUUAUUAUUUCAGUGAAAUACGGAACCGUUCGGUAUUUUAUCUAACGGGUGGCAUCCCUAAGUCUAAAUAUUCUUGUUACGUUGCACAACCUUCAAUGUAUGUCACAAUUACGUAAAAUUCUGGCAAAUUAGUUCGCAAUGAGCCAGGCAGCCCAAACUGUUGCAUAUACCCUGACUCAGCGUGCAAUGAACGCAAGAGAAAUGACACAAUUUCACCUGGUUAAUAUUGCCUGCUAAACUGGAGUUAUAGUAGUAGUUAUAACUAGUGAUUAUGAUUUAUUGGUUUUUAUAAGAUAAGUUUAAUGCUAGCUAGCAAUUUACCUUGGCUUCGAUUGCAUUCGCGUUACAGGCAGGCUACUCGUGGAGUGCAAUGGUUAGAGCGUUGGACUAGUUAACUGUGCAGUUGGAAGAUUGGAACCCCUGAGCUGACAAGGUGGAAAUCUGUCAUUCUGCCCCUGAACAAGGCAGUUAACCCACAGUUCCUAGGCAGUCAUUGAAAAUAAGAAUGUGUUCUUAACUGACUUGCCUAGAUAAAUAAAAGGUACCUCGGGGUGUGGUGUCAGGAAAAUAACAUCACACUCAACGUCAACAAAACAAUGGAGAUGAUCGUGGACUUCUGGAAACAGUAGAGGGAGCACUCCCCUAUCCAUAUUGACGGGACAGUAGUGGAGAAGGUGGAAAUUUUUAAGUUCCUUGGUGUACACAUCACGGACAAACUGAAAUGGUCCACCCACACAGACAGCGUGGUGAAGAAGGCGCAACAGUGCCUAUUCAACCUCAGGAGGCUGAAGAAAUUUGGCUUGUCACCGGAAACACUCACAACCUUUUACAGAUGACAAAUCGAGAGCAUCCUGUCGGGCUGUAUCGCUGCCUGGUACGGCAACUGCUCCGCCCACAACCGUAAGGCUCUCCAGAGGGUACCUCACCGGGGUCGAACUAUCUGCCCUCCAGGACACCUACAUCACCCGAUGUCACAGGAAGGCCAAAAAGAUCAAGGACAACAACCACCCAAGACACUGCCUGUUCACUCCGCUAUCAUCUAGAAGGCGAGAAUGCUGAAGCCACCAAGCGAAGCAUCGGGGACUGCUGGCGUUCUGGUUGAUGGUGAGGUCAGGUCCGGGGUGCCACCACCGUUGGAACAGGGGGUGCCUGAGCCAGCUCGUCGGGCUGUCACGCCCUAGCUGGCUUGAGAGGUUUCUUUCCCCGGUUGGCUCGGAAAGCGCCCCUCCCACGUCAGGCCUCAGUUCGGAUCGUCAGGUUUUUAUGCCCAGCCGGUUCGUCAGGCUGCUCCGCCUCUGCCAGAUCAUCGGGCUCCCAUGCCUCAGCGGGAUUGACAGGCCUUCAUACCUCAGCCAGAUCGUCAGGCUCUCACGCCUCUGCCGGUUCAUCGGGAUUUCACGCCCAGCCGGCUUGUUCAGCGCCUUUGCCUCGGCCGGCCCGUCAGGCUUGCCCAGGUGGGACGCCAGGUGGCGCCCCUAGAGGGGGGGUACUGUCACGCCUGCUCCCGCUCUCCUCCCUGGCGCUCGAGGGCGCCAGGCUCCCCACCAUUACACACUCCUGCCACCAUCAUUACGUACACCUGCCUUUCCACAUCACGCGCAUCAGCAAUUAUUGGACUCACCUGGACUCAAUCACCCCUGUCAUUACCUCCCCUAUAUCUGUCUGUUCCCCCACUCUGUUCCCUGCUUCAGCAUUGAUUGUCAUAUGUCCUUGUAUACCCGUGUGCUGAUGCUGUUCCUGUCUUGUUCCGAUAAAAUGUUUGACUCCUCGUACCUACUUCUCUACUCCAGCGUUGGUCCUUACAGAAAACACAGAGAAGGAUUAAUGAUCUGAGCCAAACAAAUUUGUAUGUGUGUGUGUGUGUGUGUGUGUGUGCAUGUGUGUAUGCUUGUGUGUGUGUGUGUGCUUGCGUUUGCCUGUAUGGAAAUACAUUGUUUAGUUCCUACAUAUAACAAUGCAGCAUUUUUUAUUGCAAUGUAACUUCAAUGGAAUAUAUUUGAUUUUCAUGUUUUCCGAGAAAUUGGAUUUGUCUGAGAUCCCAUUAUUCACUCCAUUUUUAUGUUUUAAUGCUAAGCUUUUUCCUUGAGGCACAUUGACUAUGUACCGGUACCCCCUGUAUAUAGCCUCGCUUUUGUUACUUUACUGCUGCUCUUUAAUUAUUUGUUACUUUUAUUUCUUGUGUUUUUAGGUAUUUUUCGUAAAGCUGCAUUGUUGGUUGAGGGCUUGUAAGUAAGCAUUUCACUGUAAGGUCUACAUCUAUUGUAUUCGGCGCAUGUGACAAAUCAAAUUUGAUAAGAUUUAUGCUGAAAAAGACUGUUAAGGUUGUUUAUUAUGUUGGUUAAUUUGGGGGUUGUGAAAAGUUCAUGUUUAACCCCAUUGAUUAUCUUUCUUUUUCUUUCCUUGCGUCUGUAUCAUUCAGGCUAAGACCAAAAAGAGAUGGACAGAGUGAAAGCAAAAGAAACAAAAUGGAGGAAAGGAAAGGCGGAGGGCGAGUGCGCCUGGUCUUAUUGAGUCGAGUGCUGAGUGAUUUUCAUGGAACAUCUUUUCUUUCCAAAUAUUUGAAAUAUGAGAGUAUCCGUGAACAAUUAUGUUUGUUGAAAAAAGAAAAGGAAGAGCUAUAUGUUACAUAUUUUUUUCUGUGUUCCUAGGUCAAGCCAUGUGUUAAAUAGUUUCUUAAUUACCAAUGGGGGAUGGCUGUGGAUGACUGUUACAUGGAAUGUGGGGUUGGCUGUCACUAUCAACUACAUUACAAUAAAUCCCAAGCUCUUGUGUGCUUGUGCUAUAAAGA